rnacentral:piRNA from 1 species
AAACUUUAGAAAAGGCGAAACGGUGUC